CGGCGCCGUCCACCAGCUGUCCCGAACAUCCGUUACAAAUCUCUGCGAGGGACGAAAACAUCUGUUCGGGCAGAGGCUGGAAGCCGAGGCGGCGGGUGCGGCGCCGCGGGGAGCACCCCACCGCGGCGCAGCGCCAGGGGAGAGGGUCCCUGCAGGUAGCAAAGGAUUUUCCAGCCCGCAGGCACCGCAAGCCGAAGGGCACCGCGACGCUGCCCGAAAUGCGCGAGAUAGUGCACGCGCGUGAUGAAAAAGAAAUUUAAACAGGACAAAAGGACGCACAUGCAGGCAGACCCGGGAGGAUCAUUUCCUGGACCAUCCGCGUGCACCGACAGUUCGUCCCUGGGCCGUUUCUCGCCGCCUCUGCCCAGCAGCAGUUGGCCUCGCGGUUCCCGGGAGAGCCGCCACUUUUCCUGCCACGUUCGUUGGAGUCGAGCGUGGGCAGCCUCUGUAACUUCCCAGGGCUUUUGGCGAAAGGGUGUCAUGGGCACCCGCGCCUCGGGAGAGGCAAAAGGCUCGAUCUCCCUGGGUGCUGUGCGAACCCCGGAACCAGCCCCGGGUAGAUCCCCUCAGAGUUGGGAGAGGGAAGGCUUCCAGAGCUCUGCUCCCUACCUGGCCUCCCUCUUUUGGCUCCAGGAUCUCAACACUCACCCGAAAGAAAUGCCAAGCUUCCACUCUGCGGAAACCUAGGUGCCCCGUGCAGGCUCCACCCCGCACCCCCGCCGCGUGUUCCUGGGUAGAACGCUUUGCCGAAAAUUUUGCUAAAGCAGGGAAAGCGCGGGGCGGAUGCGGAGGGCGCAGGGCGCAGGGCGCAGGGCGCGGGCCGUGGUGGUGCCCGGCGGCCCCUGAGCCAACGCCCGGCGUGCGGUGGGGAAGGGGCAAGGUGGGCCCACACGGAUCCGAAACAGCAGCUGACCAAUCAAUCCACUGGAGGAGCCAGCAGCAUCGAAUUCAGUUUUUUUUUUUUUUAAUUGCCAUUGGGACCAUCAAUUUCCAGAGGCCUAAAAAUAAACCUCAAAUCCAAAACACAACACAGCCCUCACAGAAAAAUAGAAAAGGGGGGGAAAAAAACUAAGAACAAUCUCCCGGAUUUAAUGAGAGAGUCGCCCACAUCCUCAUCACCCCAGCAUGGUAAUUGAGCAGAUCUAUUAACUUGUUACACUAGAUUUGUUUAAAGAGACUAUUACACAGUCAUUUAAUCAAUUUGUUACACUGGAGGUCCUGACUUAUGAGACACUUGCCUUAUGAUUCCUUAAUGACUGAAUUAAUUUGUUUUAAUAAAACCAACAUUGUGUACAAGUACAUUUCUAGAAAUGUAAUUUUGGAGACAGAACAGUCCAAUGCUUCAUCUGAUUAGGUCCUUUCUAUGGUUUAUCAAAGUCUGUAGUUUCUGACAUAGCUGCUUGUAUGGAGUAUUUUUCUUUUUUAUAGCGCCAUUAAUUUAAUAUGGAUCAUUAGUUCUUUAUACACAUGCAUGUUCUGACAAAUGUACCCAAUGAAUAAUGCAGCUAAUGUGCUUAGGCCCAAAUGCAUCACAUCAUAAACAGAGACCUCUGCAAAAUAACAACAGUGAAAUAAAACACCCCCUCUGGUCUCCGUGGUCAUCAUUAGAGUAACAUUUUGAGUUACAUUUAAGUCUUGUUUUGCAGAGCAAGACAUGUUUGGCCCCAAGAUUCUAUCAACAUAGCCAACUGGGUCUAACUAUGUAGUGAACACAAAUAGAUUUAUGGUGAAUUAAGGUUGUCUUGAGAGCAGAUGCAGGACAAGAAAAUCGGUUUUGCUCUUGAUGGAAACUGACGUGUGUAGAAUAAAAUGUAAAUAAACAGAAAGUCCCCAAGAAAAGGGACUUGAUGUUAUUGAUUAUGUAAAAUAAUUAGAACAUUACAAAUGAUAAUGCACUACAAAUAGUUGGCAUUUAUGUCUAGAUUUUUUGCAG
rnacentral:lncRNA from 1 species